CUGUUUAAAGGCACAUGCUUCCACUCCUUCAGUGUGGGACUGAAGAACAAGAAGAGAGGGGAAGAAAAAGAUGGAACAAACAAUAAAAUGCAUGUAGCCAGCACUGUUCACAUCACAUUACAACAGCAUGCUUACGAGCUCAUCAAGAGAAGACUGUAGUAGAUCAUGUGCCUUGUAAAACUGAUGCUUCAGUGCAAACAUACAAAGGAUGUGCCUGGUCUGAAGAGUUGCUGAGAAUGUCACAGAGUCCUGCUAUGGCUUGUGGCCCAUUUACUGUCCAUGGAUUCAUGCACCCACUCAUCCCUCCAGCCACCUGUCCUGCAACAUUUUGAUGUACGUACCCAGAAACUGCUGGUAGGAUGGCAGCCAUCAGCUUCCAAAGCCAGACAUCUGCAAAGUGGUAAAAUAUCUGCAAAAGUGAUUUCCCAUCUGAACACGCUGUGACCUGGAUGCACAUGUAGGUAUAUUGUUAUAAUUUUUGCAACCUAGGUGCAGAGAGUUGAAAAUAUGCCCCUGGUGACCAGUCAUUAACGAAACUGAAAUGAGGACAGCUUCAUGUAAGAGGCUUUCUGAAUGCCUUGAAAUAUACUCAGCAUAUUUUAAAUAGCUUUAAUUCUACAGUACUUUUAAUAUAACCCUUUAAACAUGAGGGAACACAAAGGGAAGGUUAAUUGGAAUGGCUAAUUAAACAUAGUGAAGUUAAAGAACUGGAACACUGGGAUUUUAUUUUGAUAUUUAGCAACAUCUCAUAACCCUAAGGACAUUGAUUUAGCCUAAGGUCUGGUAUCUUUAUAAAUUGCAACAUAGCCUGGAGCCUCAAAGGAGAGAGAAAAAGGGUCGAGUGCUUGUAACAACAGAUUCCCAAAGGAGCCCUGAUAACAAUUAUAACCAACAUGAUUAUUUGUGUUACUUAAAAAAUAAAUCCAUCUCUCAGGUUUUAGUCA
rnacentral:lncRNA from 1 species